AGUGAACGCUGGCGGUAGACCUAACACAUGCAAGUCGAACGGCAGCACAGUAAGAGCUUGCUCUUACGGGUGGCGAGUGGCGGACGGGUGAGGAAUACAUCGGAAUCUACUUUUUAGUGGGGGAUAACGUAGGGAAACUUACGCUAAUACCGCAUACGACCUACGGGUGAAAGCAGGGGAUCUUCGGACCUUGCGCGAUUGAAUGAGCCGAUGUCGGAUUAGCUAGUUGGCGGGGUAAAGGCCCACCAAGGCGACGAUCCGUAGCUGGUCUGAGAGGAUGAUCAGCCACACUGGAACUGAGACACGGUCCAGACUCCUACGGGAGGCAGCAGUGGGGAAUAUUGGACAAUGGGCGCAAGCCUGAUCCAGCCAUACCGCGUGGGUGAAGAAGGCCUUCGGGUUGUAAAGCCCUUUUGUUGGGAAAGAAAAGCAGCAGGUUAAUACCCCGCUGUUCUGACGGUACCCAAAGAAUAAGCACCGGCUAACUUCGUG
rnacentral:rRNA from 1 species